rnacentral:rRNA from 1 species
AUAAUCAUUUGCCUUUUAAUUGGAGGCUGGUAUGAAUGGUUUGACGAGAGCUAUGCUGUCUCUCCCAAAAUAUUUAAAAAUUAACCUUUAGGUGAAGAGGCCUAAAUUUAUUUAAGGGACAAGAAGACCCUGUUGAGCUUUAGUGAUGUUGUGAACGAUAAAAGAUGAGUUCAUCAUCAAUUUUAUUAUGUAUUUAUUAUAAUAAAAGUUUAUAAAUAAUCUUUAGUUGGGGCGACUGAGGAACAUAUAAAGCUUCCUUAUAUAUAAAAUUAUUUAGGUAAUUAAAUAUUUAAUGCGUAUGUGUUAUUUUGAUCCAAUUUAUUUUGAUUAAAAGAAAAAGUUACCACAGGGAUAACAGCGUAAUCUUUCUGGAGAGAUCUUAUCGAAAGAAGGGUUUGCGACCUCGAUGUUGGACUAAGAUAUCCUAAGGGUGCAGAAGCUCUUGAAGGUUGGUCUGUUCGACCAUUAAAAUCUU